AGAUAAUUAAAGACGGAGACUUCGAGAUCGCUGACUGCUUCUGGGCAUUGGCCUUUCUGCGAUGUUGUCUCAUCUAAUGCUCUACCAUACUUGAUUGCAAGAAAAAGGAAAGAGGGAGGGGGUCAGAUCUGACGAUCUCUCUUUCUCUCUCUCUGGGUUGAGCUCGGAUGGGAAAGAGUGAGAGGUCAAAGAACUGGUCCUCCCUCUCUUUUCUUCCAAAAUGGAAAGAUUUGGAAUUAUAUUGUUGAGGGUUGAUUUUGAGAAGAAACUAGAAAGAUUGGUGGUAAAUUUUCUCAGACUUUGGCUGGCUUGGGCUGACAGAAGAGAGUGAGCACACGCCGGCGAUGGCAGCAUGAGGAGAUGCUGUUCCCGUUGCGUGCUCACUUCUCUUUCUGUCAGCUUCCCUUGCCAACUCUAUUUAUUGUUAAGCUUCUCUUUUUUCUUUUUUUUUCCUCCAUGGAUUAUAAUGGAAAGAAUGUUAGAAUAAAAAGAGAGAGAGGAGGACGCCACGCGCGGUGGCAGGGCCUCAUCUUCUUCUUGUCUCGGGUCUAUCAUCGUCUUUAUUGCUGCUACCUUUCUUUUCUUUUGUUUUGCCCUUCUCGCCAUCUGUCUGUCAGCUUUGUCCGGGACGUCUCAUCUCAUCGGGCCAGGCGGAGAUGGAGGGUUUGCCGAGGAGGAAGAAAAAUUGGGGGAAAGAAUAAAAGAAAGAGGGGAAACUGAGGCGGUGGAGCACGGAAGCGUGCCUUUUGAGAAAAGCUCAUCCACUUCCCCCCACCCCCCCCCUCCUCUCUCUCCUCCUCGUUGGGGGGGCGAUGGGAGGCGAUGGUACACCUCUGCCGACUGUGCGGAUUUAACGGAAAUCACUGUGGAGCAGUACCCUCGCUACUCCACUUCCUCCUCCCCACUCCCUCUCCGCCACCCCCCACCGCCCGCCUCCCCCCCACCCCCAAACCUCCUUGUUCUUUCUUCUGUUUUUGGCCAGGACUGGAGCCAUCGGAUUGGAAUCGGGAACGGAAUCGAGUCAUGCAAAAGAUUUCAGCAAGCCAUGAACAUCUUUGGCCGAACGAUUUAUAACUCAUGCAAUUAUGAAGGGAAUGAUUCAGUGGAAGACCUGGAAAAGAGGGGACCAUUUUCAAAGAUGGUGGAUGGUUCGGUGAUGUAACCUUCGGGUUCCGUAGAGGGACCAGGCCAGUUUUGAAUACACCAUAAUCAAGAUUUUCCUUCAAUUGAACCCCUUUGUGGCUGGAAACGGGACAACAGGAUGUCUGAACUCUGAAGCAUAUUUAAUCUUUGGUUCACGGGCAUGAUCCUUUUGGCUCGUUCAGCUUUGGUAUAUGGUUGAUCUUGUCGGCUUUUAACAAAAGUGGGAGAUGUAAUCAAUAACUUAUGCAUUUCAGUGAUACGUGGCUGGAAAGUAUAUGAGAAUGCAGGCGGUGAUUAUCUUGUUCAAAGAGCCUCCUUUGCCCUGGGUCUACCUCCUGUUCUUAUAUUGUUUGAUAGAACGUUUCUUUAAUAAAAGUUGGUGAGCAUCCCUUUUUUUUUUUUGAAAGAAAAAAGGAGAAUAGAGGUGAUAUUUUGCAUAUCCUAACUUCGAAACACAUUGAAAGACACAGAGCUCUUUUCUUGGUCAACAAUGACCCAGAUUUACAGGGAAUUUAUAGGAAGAUCGAACACCAGUUUACGAAUGAGAAGAUUUAUAUCUAAAUAAGUUUCAUGUUCAAAGCAAAUUAAAUGUCCACUGCUGCUCGUGGAAGGAGUUUAUAGAAUGAGUUCCAAGCCAGGAUGUGUCGCAUAAAGAAUAACUUUGAUACUUGAGGUCAGUUGCAUGCAUUGAUAAUUUGGUUUUCUUUUCUUUAAGUGGCUUUUCUUAGGUAGGAGUUAAAGUAUAGGGAAUUCGAUAAUAGGGAUGGUGUGCAGCCAUGCACCUUGUUUUGCAAUGUUGGAACCAAGACACUUUGGAUUUCUAUCGUGGAAAAAAUAUCAAAGUAGAGCCUUGUUUGUUACUGCUAUAUUAACCAAUUCAUCUUGCAUGCAAGAGCAAUCUCCAUCAUUCGGUUGGACAUGUUAUAGGGAAUUACCGCCUUACAAUGUAGGAGAUAUCUUACAAACAAAUUUUAUGGUCUUUAGAGGCAUCUUAAAAUUUAAUGGGGAAUUUAGUACCCCUAGUGUGCUUUCGGACGUUGAUGGUAUUCAUUAAUACUAAUUCCCUCACUAUGUAAGUGAUUGUUGAUGCAUCACUGGAGGUUCAAAGUGUGAAGAGGUUGGAAAGCCUUAUGUUUUUGACUAUGAAUAUGUCACAUCCUUUGUCUUAUUAUGAACCAUUCUGAAUCUACCAUUUAUGCUUCUGUAGAACAAGAUCUCAACCUCUGUUACGUGCAAUAGGAAGGAACUCCAUACACAAACAAGUUGAGUGAUUGAGGUGGAGAUUUUGAGAUUUUGUGGGAAAUUAUCUGAUGAUGCCCAAUGACAACAAAUAUAUUAUUAAUAAAACUACUCUUCAUCGUUUGGUAGUGAGUCAUGGGACUCCAUUUUAGGGAAAAAUGUUGAAUCAACAUGCUCUUUUUGAGAAAGGGUGGGCUGACAACAGUUGAUACGGAAUCCCUUCUACCCCAAAACCAAAAGUUGGAUUAAAGCUUCAUCUACAACCAACCUUCUUUCUUUUUUUAUAUGUUUAUUUUCAUUUUAUUGUCUUCUCUUAAUGAGUGAAUAAGUGCUGUAUAAUGACUCAUUCCCAUAUAGAUAUUGUAAAUAUAUCUAUUUUUUCUUCUUCUA